GAUGAACGCUGGCGGCGUGCCUAAUACAUGCAAGUCGAGCGAACAGACGAGGAGCUUGCUCCUCUGACGUUAGCGGCGGACGGGUGAGUAACACGUGGAUAACCUACCUAUAAGACUGGGAUAACUUCGGGAAACCGGAGCUAAUACCGGAUAAUAUAUUGAACCGCAUGGUUCAAUAGUGAAAGACGGUUUUGCUGUCACUUAUAGAUGGAUCCGCGCCGCAUUAGCUAGUUGGUAAGGUAACGGCUUACCAAGGCGACGAUGCGUAGCCGACCUGAGAGGGGUAUGCGCCACCUGGAAAGUGAACACCGGCCCAGACCCCUAGGGGGGGCAGGGGGGGGAACUUUGCCGAAAGGGGGGAAAGCCUGCGGGAGAACCGCGGGGUGGGUGAGAAAGUGUUUCGGUUCGAAAAACCUUGUUUUUGGGAAAAAAAAAAUGGGAAAGUAACUAUGCCCGUCUGGAGGGAACCAAACAAGAAAGCCAGGGUAAACUACGG
rnacentral:rRNA from 1 species